GGGAAAGCGCCAACGAUGGCGGGUUGGGACGGACUGUAAAUCCGUUGCGUAUCGCUUAGCAGGUUCGAAUCCUGCCUUUCCCACCA
rnacentral:tRNA from 1 species